rnacentral:rRNA from 1 species
CCCGAUCCCAUCCCGAACUCGGAAGUGAAACACAGCUGCGCCGAUGGUAGUGUGGCUUUGCCAUGCGAGAGUAGGUCAUCGCCAGGG